rnacentral:rRNA from 1 species
AACGGGUGAGUAACGCGUGAGGAACCUGCCUCAAAGAGGGGGACGAACAGUUGGAAACGACUGCUAAUACCGCAUAAGCCCACGGGUCGGCAUCGACCAGAGGGAAAAGGAGCAAUCCGCUUUGAGAUGGCCUCGCGUCCGAUUAGCUAGUUGGUGAGGUAAUGGCCCACCAAGGCAACGAUCGGUAGCCGGACUGAGAGGUUGAACGGCCACAUUGGGACUGAGACACGGCCCAGACUCCUACGGGAGGCAGCAUG